CACUUUCAGUAGGGAGGAAGGUAGUGUAGUUAACACCUUGCACUAUUUGACGUUACCUACAGAAGAAGCACCGGCUAACUACCGUGCCAGCAGCCGCGGUAAUACGGAGGGGUGCGAGCGUUAAUCGGAAUUACUGGGCGUAAAGCGCAUGCAGGCGGCCUCGUUAAGUCAGAUGUGAAAGCCCGGGGCUUAACCUCGGAAUUGCAUUUGAAACUGGCAGGCUAGAGUCUUGUAGAGGGGGGUAGGAAUUUCAGGUGUAGCGGUGAAAUAGCGUAGAGAUCUGAAGGAAUACCAGUGGCGAAGGCGGCCCCCUGGACAAAGACUGACGCUCAGAUGCGAAAGCGUGGGGAGCAAACAGGAUUAGAUACCCUGGUAG
rnacentral:rRNA from 1 species